CUACGGGGGGCUGCAGUGGGGAAUAUUGCACAAUGGGGGGAACCCUGAUGCAGCAACGCCGCGUGGAGGAUGACGCAUUUCGGUGUGUAAACACCUUUUAUAUGUCAAGAAAAUGACGGUAGCAUAUGAAUAAGCACCGGCUAACUCCGUGCCAGCAGCCGCGGUAAUACGGAGGGUGCAAGCGUUACUCGGAAUCACUGGGCGUAAAGGACGCGUAGGCGGGUUGGAAAGUCAGGUGUGAAAUCCUACAGCUUAACUGUAGAACUGCACUUGAAACUUCUAAUCUAGAGUAUGGGAGGGGGAGAUGGAAUUAGUGGUGUAGGGGUAAAAUCCGUAGAUAUCACUAGGAAUACCUAAAGCGAAGGCGAUCUCCUGGAACAUUACUGACGCUAAGGCGUGAAAGCGUGGGGAGCAAACAGGAUUAGAUACCCGAGUAGUC
rnacentral:rRNA from 1 species